GCUCCACGGACAAAUUUCAUCCCUAAUGAUCAGAUUUUUAUAACAGAGCUAUAAACCUCUUCAAAUAAUGGGCCAGAUCCUCAGCUGGUGUAAAUUAGCAUAGCUCCUUUGCCUUAAUGAAGCUCUGUGGAUUUACACCAGCUGAGAUUCCAGCUCAUUGUUUGGUAAAUUGACUCUUAAUUUGGUGCAAGUGAGCACUAUUUAUAAGGUGGCCCUUUGUUUUAACGAAUAUCUUCCUUAAAUUAAUAAAUCCAGUGAAGUUCUUCCACUCUUCAAGAUCAGAGAUGGCUGCCUCACAACCCCAGGGCACAGUUUAAUAACACUCAAUACCAUCUGGUCACUUCUUGUAUUUUGUUGUCAAUAAAUAUCAUCUGUGCACAUCCCAAACUAGUCAACAAUGAUGAUGACCAUAAGUAAGAUCCUGUGCAUUCUUCUUUUGGCACGCGAACUUAUUUGGCCUUCUCAAGAUAAUUAUUUUUUUAACAUACUGCUUACAGAAUUGUAUUAGCAUUUUGUUUAGGCUUAAUAGAAAUACUCGAUGCUCUCAAUAUGAAUGGAAAUUCAUUGUUGAAGGAAAGAACAGAGUGAGGUCGUGUCUGACUUGGAAGGGUAGCAGAAACUAAAUGAAAAUAAAAACGCUUGCUUGCUUUUAAUGCUCUCAAUUGUCCUCUCUCUCCUUGACUUCUUUGUAACACUACAAUCUUUUUAUUUCAGAUUCACUUCUGAAAAAGCCGUCUAGAAAAGGCAAAGCUUGAAUAUGGAUCCCAAAUUCUUCCUGUUUGGAAUGAAGGGAAAUACCUUUUUAUCCAGUGGGGACCAACAUGCACUUUUUAUCGAACCGUACUGAGUACCAUGAAUUCCCCCGUGCUCCUGAGAGGACUUCAGCCUGUGAAGCAGCCAGUGAUGAGCUGCACUGAUUUAUUUACUGCUUCAAGCAAAUUAAAAUAUUGAGAUGGAUUUAGG
rnacentral:lncRNA from 1 species